rfam:Brachypodium distachyon strain Bd21 chromosome 3, whole genome shotgun sequence.
GUACUACUCCCUCCGGCUGGAAUUACUUGUCGAAAUAUUACAUGUAUCUAUACGCUUUUUACACACAGAUACGUUCAUAUUUGGGCAAAUUUGAGACAAGUAAUACCGGUCGGAGGGAGUAGUAC